UGGUGUAUAGCUCAGUGGUAGAGCGCUUGCCUAGCAUGCAUGAGGCCCGGGGUUCCAUCCCCAGCACCACAA
rnacentral:tRNA from 1 species